UACGUAGGGUGCGAGCGUUGUCCGGAAUUACUGGGCGUAAAGAGCUCAUAGGUGGUUUGUCGCGUUGUUCGUGAAAUCUCACGGCUUAACUGUGAGCGUGCGGGCGAUACGGGCAGACUGGAGUACUGCAGGGGAGACUGGAAUUCCUGGUGUAGCGGUGGAAUGCGCAGAUAUCAGGAGGAACACCGGUGGCGAAGGCGGGUCUCUGGGCAGUAACUGACGCUGAGGAGCGAAAGCGUGGGGAGCGAACAGG
rnacentral:rRNA from 1 species